UGUCUGUGUUGGAGGUGUCUGUGUUGGAGGUGUCUGUGUUGGAGGUGUCUGUGUUGGAGGUGUCAGUGUUGGAGGUGUCUGUGUCGUGUAUGUCUGUGUUGGAGGUGUCUGUGUUGGAGGUGUCUGUGUUGGAGGUGUCUGUGUUGGAGGUGUCAGUGUUGGAGGUGUCUGUGUUGGAGGUGUCUGUGUUGGAGGUGUCAGUGUUGGAGGUGUCUGUGUGGUGUAUGUCUGUGUUGGAGGUGUCUGUGUUGGAGGUGUCAGUGUUAGAGGUGUCUGUGUUGGAGGUGUCUGUGUUGGAGGUGUCUGUGUUGGAGGUGUCAGUGUUGGAGGUGUCUGUGUGGUGUAUGUCUGUGUUGGAGGUGUCUGUGUGGUGUAUGUCUGUGUUGGAGGUGUCUGUGUGGUGUAUGUCUGUGUUGGAGGUGUCUGUGUGGGGUAUGUCUGUGUUGGAGGUGUAUGUGUGGUGUAUGUCUGUGUUGGAGGUGUCUGUGUUGGAGGUGUCUGUGUGGUGUAUGUCUGUGUUGGAGGUGUCUGUGUGGUGUGUGUCUGUGUUGGAGGUGUCUGUGUUGGAGGUGUCAGUGUUAGAGGUGUCUGUGUUAGAGGUGUCAGUGUUAGAGGUGUCUGUGUUAGAGGUGUCAGUGUUAGAGGUGUCAGUGUUAGAGGUGUCUGUGUUGGAGGUGUCUGUGUUGGAGGUGUCUGUGUUGGAGGUGUCAGUGUUGGAGGUGUCUGUGUGGUGUAUGUCUGUGUUGGAGGUGUC
ensembl:lncRNA